rnacentral:rRNA from 1 species
ACACUCCUGCGGGAGGCAGCAGUAGGGAAUCUUCCACAAUGGGUGCAAACCUGAUGGAGCAAUGCCGCGUGAGUGAAGAAGGUCUUCGGAUCGUAAAGCUCUGUUGUUAGAGAAGAACACGUGCUAGGUAACUACUAGCGCCUUGACGGUAUCUAACCAGAAAGUCACGGUUAACUACGUGCCAGCAGCCGCGGUAAUACGUAGGUGACAAGCGUUGUCCGGAUUUAUUGGGCGUAAAGGGAGCGCAGGCGGUCUGUUUAGUCUAAUGUGAAAGCCCACGGCUUAACCGUGGAACGGCAUUGGAAACUGACAGACUUGAAUGUAGAAGAGGAAAAUGGAAUUCCAAGUGUAGCGGUGGAAUGCGUAGAUAUUUGGAGGAACACCAGUGGCGAAGGCGAUUUUCUGGUCUAACAUUGACGCUGAGGCUCGAAAGCGUGGGGAGCGAACAGGAUUAGAUACCCGAGUAGUCCC